GAGAUGCCCGUGCUGUGGCCCGGAGAGGCUCGUGCUGGGCUUCUGGCCUCGGGGCCGUCAGAGGACCUGUGAGGAGAGGAGGCCACUGCACUUUCGCCGUCUCGGGCCCUGGGUGCCCCGUGUGCUCCGCCAGGGAACCCGUUAGAGACGCAGGCCCCUGUGUCGGCGCCAGCUGGGUCGAGGCCGGGCGUGCGUGUAAGAGCAGAGCUGGCCCUGCCCGCCCCGGGCCAGGCGAGCAGGGCGGGGAGGAGCGGAGGCAGGAGGACCCGGCUCAGCUCGUCUCCCCCUGAGCCGCGACGCUCCUUCACCCUGGAGCCUCCUCGGACGUCCUAGGAGACCACGAGAGAGGCUCUCUUGAAGAUGACAGCCCGGCUACUAAAGAGUGUGCCUCCUGCAUGUUCAUCUGGUGAUUCCUCACAGCACAUUCAGGCUGCGUGGAGCAGGGCCGGGUCUCAUCACACCACCUCUCCCAGGAGUCACCUUUGGGCAGCCCCGUGACUGCUGUCUGUUAUCAUUAACCACUUAGGAUGACACCUCCCAGGCAUGUCCGUUUCAUGUUCCUCUCUUCUCCUUUUUGGUAUUUUGCAUAUAAAUACUCUGAAAUUAGGGUUCAAGAGGGAGCGUGUCCUGUGUCCAGAGCUGAAGCUUACUCGUCACCAGGAUCUCUGUCUCCUUCCUGAUGCUUUGCCCUUUGACCUUUCUUGGACCGAGAGGAGCGGUCUUCCUGGAGCUCAGCGGUUCCCUUCUCUGCGUCUCGACGCUCCUGCAUCACAGUGGUUCCUGUGCUUCACGAGGGUGUUCACAGCAGACUCGGCAUCACAGCGCUCCUGCCUCCUGCCGGAUGAGACCUGGCCCUGGGGCCGGGGCCGUCGAGAAGGACGCUGGGCCCCCCGUGCGCUCGCCCUGCUGUGCCAGCUGUGAGGACGGUGUCUCACUCCACACCCGGCUGUGCCUGUGCUCCCGCAUCGCAGAAGCUACUGAUCCCGCCUCCUCAGAGCCGGCUGCAGUGGGCUGGGGGCGGCUUCCUGCCUGUUCAAGGUGGGGAAGGGGCCUGCCCUCCACAGUCCACAUCCCCCCUCGGGAGACUCGGGUGUCCCCGCUCCCGAGCCUUUCGGGGG
ensembl:lncRNA